GCCAAGCAGGCUCCCCUACCUUAAAUGUAAAGGGUUAAGCCUUUAUUUACCAGAUUCCAGCACCGAGGUCCAUUGACAAUGGGUAGUGCUUCGCUUCCUCAGACAUCAGCCGGUGUGUGUGUGUGUGUGGGGGGGGAAACACCUAAUUCACAUGUACGGCAUUAGGCCUUACCCAUGGAAAAGUAUUACCUCAAUGCUUGGCUAUGG